GACGAACGCUGGCGGCGUGCCUAACACAUGCAAGUCGAGCGGUAAGGCCUUUCGAGGUACACGAGCGGCGAACGGGUUAGUAACCCGGGGGUGAUCUGCCCUGCACUUCGGGAUAAGCCUGGGAUACUGGGUCUAAUACUGGAUAUGAACUCCUAUCGCAUGGUGGGUGGAGGAAAGAUUUAUCGGUGCCGGAUGGGGCCGCGGCUUAUCAGCUUGUUGGUGGGGUAAUGGGCUACCAAGGCGACGACGGGUAGCCCACCUGAGAGGGUGACCGGCCACACUGGGACUGAGGCACGGCGCAGACUCCAACGGGGGGCAGCAGUGGGGAAUAUUGCACAAUGGGCCAAAGCCUGUUGCAGCGACGCCGCGUGAGGGAUGACGGCCUUCGGGUUGUAAACCUCUUUCAGCAGGGACGAAGCGCAAGUGACGGUACCUGCAGAAGAAGCACCGGCUAACUACGUG
rnacentral:rRNA from 1 species